GCUGGAAUCGCUAGUAAUCGCGAAUCAGAAUGUCGCGGUGAAUACGUUCCCGGGUCUUGUACACACCGCCCGUCACACCAUGGGAGUCGGGAAUGCCCGAAGUCAGUGACCCAACCUAUAGGAGGGAGCUGCCGAAGGCAGGUCUGAUAACUGGGGUGAAGUCGUAACAAGGUAAC
rnacentral:rRNA from 1 species